ACUUAGAACAAAAGUAUGCCCUGUCUAAGAGGUGGAGAGGAUCAAAAGAAACAACAAUAAAAUUUUGAAGACAUUUAUCAACGGUCCACCAUAAAAACAAGUUACAAUAAAUUAACAGAUACAUCUCUAUUCUGUUCAGAAUCAUGUCUGCCCCUUUUCGUAUUGCACUAAAUAAUUUAUCUCUAUAAUAUAAACUUAUUUUUCAAUUAAAGAACCAUGAAGACAUACUCAUCAAGGAACAAAGCAACCAACCAAAUUAAAUCAACAAACCAACCACGAA
rnacentral:misc_RNA from 1 species